GACGAACGCUGGCGGCGUGCUUAACACAUGCAAGUCGAACGGAAAGGCCCUGCUUGCCGGGUACUCGAGUGGCGAACGGGUGAGUAACACGUGGGUGAUCUGCCCUGCACUUCGGGAUAAGCCUGGGAAACUGGGUCUAAUACCGGAUAGGAGCCAUUUUUAGUGUGAUGGUUGGAAAGUUUUUUCGGUGUAGGAUGAGCUCGCGGCCUAUCAGCUUGUUGGUGGGGUAAUGGCCUACCAAGGCGGCGACGGGUAGCCGGCCUGAGAGGGUGGACGGCCACAUUGGGACUGAGAUACGGCCCAGACUCCUACGGGAGGCAGCAGUGGGGAAUAUUGCACAAGGGGCGCAAGCCUGAUGCAGCGACGCCGCGGGGGGGAUGACGGCCUUCGGGUUGUAAACGCCUUUCGCUAGGGACGAAGCUUUUUGUGACGGUACCUAGAGAAGAAGCACCGGCUAACUACGUG
rnacentral:rRNA from 1 species